UCUUGGAUAGCUCAGUCAGUAGAGCAUGAGACUCUUAAUCCCAGGGUUGUGGGUUCAAGCCCCAUGUUGGGUGAA